AACCGUUUGUUCCGCGCCGAGGCAGAGGCGGCGCACUGGCGGCUUCCCUCUGAGCGCGCCUCCUGGGGGUGCGGGACUAGGAACACCUCUUUCCUUGUCCUAGGUGUGCAGAGCUCCGAGUUACCACGGUGCGGCUUCGGGCGGGGGAGGGGGCGGGGGGAGUGGGUUGUGGAUCGGGGUUCCAAGAAGUGGGAAUUUGGAGUCCUGGGUUUCCUAGCUGUCUCUCUGCUGUCCCUCGAGCCGGGUCGAACCAGCUGCCCGAGCCCGAAGCCUUCCCAGCUCACCAUUCACAGGCGCCUCGUGGGCUCUUUUCCAUUGGCUUGGAAAGCGCGUUCAAGAAUCAUCGUUCAAUGGACUUGACCCACCGGUUGAGUAAAUGAGAUUCCAAACGCUUCCUGAUCUGGGAGGAUCCCAAGAAGAUCCCAGGGCGAGGGUCCUAGCCGGUCUCGGAGGUCAAGUAUGACUGGCGGAUCGUGGACGCUAGCUUUCCAGGGCCCCACAGGCGAGCCAGCGCAUGAAGACUUGGAAAAUCCUGCUUUCGAGUUCAAAGCAAGACAAAGUUGAUCGUUUCCACUUCGUCUACACCACAAGGCAGCUGUGAGUUCGCUAAUAGAGUGGUCUGGUUUCAGGGUUCUAGAACCUUCCCUCUACUCUCCCAGAUCCCAUCCACUGUAAAGCCACGGAGCCUGGCUUUCACUGGGCCAUCAGCAGAGGGUGGAUUCCCUCAGGAUCUCAUCAGAGUCCUGGGGGUAAGGACUGAAACCAUCUCCCAGGAGGACGAAGCUCUAGCAUUCUGGACAGCUGACCAAGGACCCAUCCCUAACAAUCACCAAGUCCUUUCUUAUUUAUCUUGUUUUUUUGGUUUUGUUCUUUUGAGACAUCUUCUCACUAUGUAGCCUUGGCUGGCCCAGAGCGUGCUCUGUCCAUCAGGCUCGGCUCAGCAGAUCAACCCACCUCUGCUUCCUGAGUGUUGGUAUUAAAGGCUUUGCCCCACUAUGCCUAGCCUUUUGAAAAAUACAUCUCUACUGAAAUGAAAGGGUAACACAAGACCAGCGCUUUAUUCCAGGCCCCACAGGGCUCCACUCAGGCCUUCACCCCACACCCUGCCGUUGCCUUGGGAACCCCCUCUCCUUGGGGACCCCCUCUCCCUGGGGACGCCUUCUCCCUGGAGACCCCCUCUCCUUGGAGACUCCCUCUCCUUGGGGACUCCCUCUCCUUGGGGACCCCCUCUCCCUGGGGACGCCUUCUCCCUGGAGACUCCCUCUCCUUGGGGACCCCCUCUACCUGGGGACGCCCUGUCCUUGGGACCCCCUCUCCUUGGAGACCCCCUCUCCUUGGGGACCCCCCUCUCCCUGGGGACGCCCUCUCCUUGGGACUCCCUCUCCUUGGGGAACCCUCUCCCUGGGGACUCCCUCUCCUUGGGGACUCCCUCUCCUUGGGGACCCCCUCUCCUUGGAGACCCCCUCUCCCUGGGGACGCCCUCUCCCUGGGGAUGCCCUCUCCUUGGGACCCCCUCUCCUUGGGACUCCCUCUCCUUGGGAACCCCCUCUCCUUGGGGACUCCCUCUCCUUGGGACCCCCUCUCCUUGGGGACUCCCUCUCCUUGGGGAUCCCCUCUCCUUGGGGGGGACUCCCUCUCCAAGCUGUCCGGGUUUCACAGGAUGCUGCAUUUUUAAUAUUAAAGCCGCUAUUACAGAAAACAUCA
rnacentral:lncRNA from 1 species